rnacentral:rRNA from 1 species
GACGAACGCUGGCGGCGUGCUUAACACAUGCAAGUCGAGCGAUGAAGCACCUUCGGGUGUGAAUUAGCGGCGAACGGGUGAGGAACACGUGAGAAAUCUGCCUUCAACACUGGGAUAGCUCCGGGAAACCGGGGCUAAUACCGGAUAUGAAACCUGCGGGCAUCCGCGGGUUUGGAAAGUUUUUCGGUUGAAGAUGACCUCGCGGCCUAUCAGCUUGUUGGUGAGGUAAUGGCUCACCAAGGCGACGACAGGUAGCCGGCCUGAGAGGGCGACCGGCCACACUGGGACUGAGACACGGCCCAGACUCCUACGGGAGGCAGCAGUGGGGAAUAUUGGGCAAUGGAGGAAACUCUGACCCAGCGACGCCGCGUGCGGGAUGAAGGCCUUCGGGUUGUAAACCGCUUUCAACAGGGAAGAAGCGAAAGUGACGGUACCUGCAGAAGAAGCACCGGCUAACUAUGUGCCAGCAGCCGCCGUAA